GUUAACCUACGGGACGCAGCAGUGGGGGAUAUUGGACAAUGGGGGAAACCCUGAUCCAGCGAUGCCGCGUGAGGGAAGAAGGUUUUCGGAUUGUAAACCUCUGUGGAGGGGGACGAUAAUGACGGUACCCCUUUAGGAAGCCACGGCUAACUACGUGCCAGCAGCCGCGGUAAUACGUAGGGGGCAAGCGUUAUCCGGAAUUACUGGGUGUAAAGGGAGCGUAGACGGCUGUGCAAGUCUGGAGUGAAAGGCGGGGGCACAA
rnacentral:rRNA from 1 species